ensembl:lncRNA
GCAGCCCUGUGCCUGCUUCUUCCAGAGACUAGUGGCAUCCCUUUACCAGACACUGUACAAGACUGUGAGAAACAGACAUUUUUUAUAUAUAUUCUGCUUUUUUUUUUAUUUUUUAGGUUUAUUGACAAAUUGAUGUUCUAAACUUUUGCUGUACUCUUAGAUUUCCAAAGUAACAUUUUUACCUUCACAAACACUUGGGGGGCAAAGUUUUGUGUAAUUCUUAAUGUAAUAGACAGCGGGUUCAGUCAUCGUUUUGAACAGCUUGUACAUAUGCCAUGCAAAAUAAUAAUAAUUAUUAUUUUAUUUUAACUUAUUACUCAUUUAUAUUACAAUAAGAAAAAUCAAGUCUUAAACCAGCACUACAGACAAAUUAUGUUAAAAAUGUAGGAAAUAAUCUUUAUUAGAACUGAUAUACAGUAUAUUUCAUUUAAAACCAGUGAGAAAACAAUCAUUCAUUUGUGCAAACAGCAAUAAAUGAAAGCAAGGAAAGCAACCAUUCAAACACUUCCUUAAAAAAACAAAAACAAUUUUCCUUCUUUUUUUUCAGAGCAACAGUACAAGAUAGAUUUCAUAAAACUAUAAAUAAGGCUUGUUUUAAACAAUUUAGCUUAUCAUUUGUUCACAACAGCUGUGCGGUGUUAUUAUCAGAGAAAAAAAAAAAUGGCACAACAAGCACCCAUGUGCCACUGUGUUUUUGCAGAUGGCGAACCAUUGUGCUAUCAUAAUUCAAACACCUGGAGAAACUUCACCUAAUAUACCACAGUGUCAUUCUGUGUUUUUGUGUACACAUAAAAAAGCAUAAUUGUAUUCCAGUUUGUUUCUAAACCAUAGCAUAACUAAAAAUGGACUAAUAACUAAUAAAACAGGAACCCUUUAGUAGUCAACCCACAUACCGAUAACUGAACGGCCAAAGUGAAAUGAAGAAUAUAUUUAACCAAUGCCAAUAAACAUUGAAAACACACCCCUUGUCAUCCCUUAAUACAGCCUUUAAGAAGAACACUGACCCCAAGUGCUCCUAAAAAUAAACACCUUCAUCAUAAACGUCAUUUCAAACUGUGCAAAAGAGGACCCUUCAAUGCCAGACAUCAUUUGUCACCAAUUUGAGAUUUUUCUGUCCAUUUUUAGCACUUUCAGCUAUAGGACACAAAAUUAGCUGGGAAGAUCCCAACCUGCCCUCUUAGUUCUCCUUCCCACCAGUCAUACUGCGAGUCGGUUUUGGUGAUAACAGUGAUGCGAUCUCCUACAACAAAGCUCAGAUCUCCAGGCUGCUGACCGGUGAACGGAUGCACGGCUGUGACCACUAAAGUGCCACCUGAUGCUUGAUCUAGAACACAUUAGAGAGGAGAGAUCAUUGUUUGGUUAAAAACACUUUAUUUAUUGGAGCAUUUUUGAAAGUGUAAUUCUAACUGCAAACCAGUAUAAAGAAAAUGUAAAGGUUAAACUGUAAUUCCUCAUUAUUAAAGACAAUAAAACAUUUAGUAAAGCAUUCAUAAACUGAUA